UACGUAGGUGGCAAGCGUUGUCCGGAUUUAUUGGGUUUAAAGGGUGCGUAGGCGGUCUAUUAAGUCAGUUGUGAAAUACGGCAGCUCAACUGUCGAGGUGCAAUUGAUACUGAUGGACUUGAGUACUGAUGAGGUAAGCGGAAUGGACGGUGUAGCGGUGAAAUGUUUAGAUAUCGUCCAGAACACCGAUAGCGAAGGCAGCUUACUAAGGAGUAACUGACGCUGAGGCACGAAAGUGUGGGGAUCAAACAGG
rnacentral:rRNA from 1 species